rnacentral:tRNA from 1 species
GCCCCCGUAGCUCAGCGGAUAGAGCGGCGGACUUCUAAUCCGUAGGCCGCAGGUUCGAAUCCUGCCGGGGGCG